AACGAACGCUGGCGGCAUGCCUAACACAUGCAAGUCGAACGAGAUCUUCGGGUCUAGUGGCGCACGGGUGCGUAAUGCGUGGGAAUCUGCCCUUUGGUUCGGAAUAACAGUUGGAAACGACUGCUAAUACCGGAUGAUGACGAAAGUCCAAAGAUUUAUCGCCAGAGGAUGAGCCCGCGUAGGAUUAGCUAGUUGGGGUGGUAAAGGCGCACCACGGCGACGAUCCUUAGCUGGUCUGAGAGGAUGAUCAGCCACACUGGGACUGAGACACGGCCCAGACUCCUACGGGAGGCAGCAGUGGGGAAUAUUGGACAAUGGGCGAAAGCCUGAUCCAGCAAUGCCGCGUGAGUGAUGAAGGCCUUAGUGUUGUAAAGCUCUUUUACCCGGGAUGAUAAUGACAGUACCGGGAGAAUAAGCUCCGGCUAACUCCGUGCCAGCCGCCGCAGUAA
rnacentral:rRNA from 1 species